UACGGGGGGAGCAAGCGUUGUUCGGAUUUACUGGGCGUAAAGGGCGCGUAGGCGGCCACCGCAAGUCGACUGUGAAAUCUCCGGGCUUAACCCGGAAAGGUCAGCCGAUACUGCGGGGCUAGAGUGCAGAAGGGGCAACUGGAAUUCUCGGUGUAGCGGUGAAAUGCGUAGAUAUCGAGAGGAACACCUGCGGCGAAGGCGGGUUGCUGGGCUGACACUGACGCCGAUGCGCGAAAGCUAGGGGAGCGAACGGG
rnacentral:rRNA from 1 species